UACGUAGGGGGCAAGCGUUGUCCGGAUUUAUUGGGCGUAAAGGGCUCGUAGGCGGUCUGUCACGUCGGGAGUGAAAACUCGGGGCUUAACCCCGAGCCUGCUUCCGAUACGGGCAGACUAGAGGUAUGCAGGGGAGAAUGGAAUUCCUGGUGUAGCGGUGAAAUGCGCAGAUAUCAGGAAGAACACCCGUGGCUAAGGCGGCUCUCUAGUACGGUACUGACGCUGAGACGCGAAAGCGUGGGGAGCGAACAGG
rnacentral:rRNA from 1 species